rnacentral:rRNA from 1 species
GGUGGAUGCCUUGGCAGUCAGAGGCGAUGAAAGACGUAGUAACUUGCGAUAAGCCCAGAUUAGGUAGUAACAACCAUUUGAGUCUGGGAUUUCUGAAUGGGGAAACCCACUUGCAUAAGCAGGUAUCAUUAACUGAAUACAUAGGUUAAUGAGGCGAACCGGGGGAACUGAAACAUCUAAGUACCCCGAGGAAAAGAAAUCAACCGAGAUUCCGAAAGUAGCGGCGAGCGAAAUUGGACUAGCCCUUAAGCUUUA